rnacentral:rRNA from 1 species
ACCGGCGAACGGGUGCGUAACGCGUAUGCAAUCUACCUUGUACAGGGGAAUAGCUUUCGGAAACGAGAAUUAAUACCCCAUAGUAGGAAGAUAACGCCUGUUAUCUUUCUUAAAGCUUCGGUGGUACAAGCGGAGCACGCGUCCCAUUAGCUAGUAGGUGAGGUAACGGCUCACCUAGGCGAUGAUGGGUAGGGGUUCUGAGAGGAAGAUCCCCCACACUGGCACUGAGACACGGGCCAGACUCCUACGGGAGGCAGCAGUAGGGAAUAUUGGUCAAUGGGCGCAAGCCUGAACCAGCCAUGCCGCGUGCAGGAAGAAGGCCCGUAAGGUUGUAAACUGCUUUUAUAGGAGAACAAACCCCUCCGGCGGGAGGGUCUGAGGGUAUCCUAAGAAUAAGCACCGGCUAACUCCGUGCCAGCAGCCGCGGUAAUACGGAGGGUGCAAGCGU